rnacentral:rRNA from 1 species
AGGACGAACGCUGGCGGCGUGCCUAAUACAUGCAAGUAGAACGCUGAAGGAGGAGCUUGCUCUUCUGGAUGAGUUGCGAACGGGUGAGUAACGCGUAGGUAACCUGCCUGGUAGCGGGGGAUAACUAUUGGAAACGAUAGCUAAUACCGCAUAAGAGUAGAUGUUGCAUGACAUUUGCUUAAAAGGUGCAAUCGCAUCACUACCAGAUGGACCUGCGUUGUAUUAGCUAGGUUGGUGGGGUAACGCUCACCAAGGCGACGAUACAUAGCCCACCUGACGAGGGUGAUCGGACCACGACGUGGGACUGAGACGACGGCCCAGACCUCCGUACGGGAGCAGCAGGUACGGGAAUUCGUUCGGCAAGUCGGACGGUAAGCUAGACCGAGACAACGGCCGACGUGAGUGGAAAGAGGUUUUCGGAUACGGUAAAGCGUUACUGUUUAGUAAGACG